rnacentral:rRNA from 1 species
GCGACAGGCUUAACACAUGCAAGUCGAGGGGCAGCACAGGUAGCAAUACCGGGUGGCGACCGGCGCACGGGUGAGUAACGCGUAUGCAACUUACCUAUCAGAGGGGGAUAACCCGGCGAAAGUCGGACUAAUACCGCAUGAAGCAGGGGCCCCGCAUGGGGAUAUUUGCUAAAGAUUCAUCGCUGAUAGAUAGGCAUGCGUUCCAUUAGGCAGUUGGCGGGGUAACGGCCCACCAAACCGACGAUGGAUAGGGGUUCUGAGAGGAAGGUCCCCCACAUUGGUACUGAGACACGGACCAAACUCCUACGGGAGGCAGCAGUGAGGAAUAUUGGUCAAUGGCCGAGAGGCUGAACCAGCCAAGUCGCGUGAGGGAUGAAGGUUCUAUGGAUCGUAAACCUCUUUUAUAAGGGAAUAAAGUGCGGGACGUGUCCCGUUUUGUAUGUACCUUAUGAAUAAGGAUCGGCUAACUCCGUGCCAGCAGCCGCGGUAAUACGGAGGAUCCGAGCGUUAUCCGGAUUUAUUGGGUUUAAAGGGUGCGUAGGCGGCCUUUUAAGUCAGCGGUGAAAGUCUGUGGCUCAACCAUAGAAUUGCCGUUGAAACUGGGGGGCUUGAGUAUGUUUGAGGCAGGCGGAAUGCGUGGUGUAGCGGUGAAAUGCAUAGAUAUCACGCAGAACCCCGAUUGCGAAGGCAGCCUGCCAAGCCAUUACUGACGCUGAUGCACGAAAGCGUGGGGAUCAAACAGGAUUAGAUACCCUGGUAGUCCACGCAGUAAACGAUGAUCACUAGCUGUUUGCGAUACACUGUAAGCGGCACAGCGAAAGCGUUAAGUGAUCCACCUGGGGAGUACGCCGGCAACGGUGAAACUCAAAGGAAUUGACGGGGGCCCGCACAAGCGGAGGAACAUGUGGUUUAAUUCGAUGAUACGCGAGGAACCUUACCCGGGUUUGAACGCAUUCGGACCGAGGUGGAAACACCUUUUCUAGCAAUAGCCGUUUGCGAGGUGCUGCAUGGUUGUCGUCAGCUCGUGCCGUGAGGUGUCGGCUUAAGUGCCAUAACGAGCGCAACCCUUGCCACUAGUUACUAACAGGUAAAGCUGAGGACUCUGGUGGGACUGCCAGCGUAAGCUGCGAGGAAGGCGGGGAUGACGUCAAAUCAGCACGGCCCUUACAUCCGGGGCGACACACGUGUUACAAUGGCGUGGACAAAGGGAAGCCACCUGGCGACAGGGAGCGAAUCCCCAAACCACGUCUCAGUUCGGAUCGGAGUCUGCAACCCGACUCCGUGAAGCUGGAUUCGCUAGUAAUCGCGCAUCAGCCAUGGCGCGGUGAAUACGUUCCCGGGCCUUGUACACACCGCCCGUCAAGCCAUGGGAGCCGGGGGUACCUGAAGUCCGUAACCGAAAGGAUCGGCCUAGGGUAAAACUGGUGACUGGGGCUAAGAC